rnacentral:rRNA from 1 species
AUUGAACGCUGGCGGCAGGCUUAACACAUGCAAGUCGAGCGGUAACAGAGAGAAGCUUGCUUCUCUGCUGACGAGCGGCGGACGGGUGAGUAAUGCCUAGGAAUCUGCCUAGUAGUGGGGGAUAACUUGCCGAAAGGUAAGCUAAUACCGCAUACGUCCUACGGGAGAAAGGAGGGGACCUUCGGGCCUUUCGCUAUUAGAUGAGCCUAGGUCGGAUUAGUUAGUUGGUGAGGUAAUGGCUCACCAAGACCGCGAUCCGUAACUGGUCUGAGAGGAUGAUCAGUCACACUGGAACUGAGACACAGUCCAGACUCCUACGGGAGGCAGCAGUGGGGAAUAUUGGACAAUGGGGGGAACCCUGAUCCAGCCAUGCCGCGUGUGUGAAGAAGGUCUUAGGAUUGUAAAGCACUUUAAGUUGGGAGGAAGAGCAGUUAACUAAUAUUUGACUGUUUUGACGUUACCGACAGAAUAAGCACCGGCUAACUUCGUG